rnacentral:rRNA from 1 species
UUCUGGCUCAGGACGAACGCUGGCGGCGUGCCUAAUACAUGCAAGUCGAACGGUCUUUCUAUGGAAGCUUGCUUCCACUGAGAAGAUAGUGGCGAACGGGUGAGUAACACGUGGGUAACCUGCCCAUAAGAGGGGGGAUAACAUCCGGAAACGGGUGCUAAUACCGCAUAGUUUUCUUGGUCGCAUGAUCGGGAAAGGAAAGACGGCCUUUGUGCUGUCGCUUAUGGAUGGACCCGCGGCGUAUUAGUUAGUUGGUGAGGUAACGGCUCACCAAGACGAUGAUACGUAGCCGACCUGAGAGGGUGAUCGGCCACAUUGGGACUGAGACACGGCCCAAACUCCUACGGGAGGCAGCAGUAGGGAAUCUUCCGCAAUGGACGAAAGUCUGACGGAGCAACGCCGCGUGAGUGAAAGAAGGUUUUCGGAUCGUAAAACUCUGUUGUCAGAGAAGAACAAGUUGGAGAGUAACUGCUCCAGCCUUGACGGUAUCUGACCAGAAAGCCACGGCUAACUACGUGCCAGCCGCCGC